AAUUACUCUCAAAUUUUCACUGUAUCGUGCAAACCCAGUACUCUAGAAGGCAGAAAUUUUUCCUCGUCUAAACCCUCCUUUGUCCUCUCGUGCAAAUUGCAAACCCUCACCAGAAGGCAGUGCAAACCCAGUACGCCAGAAGGCAGAAAAUGAUCGUCUCAUGCAAGCCCUCUGUCCUCUCGUGCAAACCUUCACCAGAAGAUAGUAUCGUGCAAACCCACUCCAUAAAUUUUUCCUCUUAUGAAAACCCUCAUUUGUUAAUCCCCGUCAAAUCCAAAUCCUUGGAGCAAACCAAAUCAUCCGUUUCUUCAAACGAUUAAUCACUUGUUCUGCCAAGCUAGGAAAGCAAGGGGAAACAAUCCACGCCGCUAUUCUGUACGCAAACCCUCCCCUGAUUCUUCGUUGUAACCCGUUCCAAGACUCCUCUGGCAGCAUCUCCGUCGUUUCCUGAUCCGACUCCGACAGCUUCCUCAACACCCAAUAGUUUGAACACCUUCUCUGAUGCUUAAUCAACAAGUAAUCAAAUCUGAAACAACCACUAUUAAGGAAUUGGAUGCGAUUGGAUGAUAGACUUUCUGACCAGUAUGUUAAUGGAGUUGAUAAUUAUUUGUGAUACCAACAUUGUUCGAGGUCAAUAAGACAACAAGUCUCUAAAAGAAGCAACUGCUGUCUUGGAGUACAUGAACAAUUUUAUGACUAUAUAUAGUGUUUUGUUGUACAUUACUUUUGAAUAGUAUAUACAAUUGUCAAAGUGUUAUUUUUAGUUGAAUAUAUUUUUUGGUUUAAUUUGUUAGCAGUUAACACUUAUAUAUAUACUACUUUUGGUGUGUAAAUGCUAAUGAAUAAUGAUUACUUUGGUGUUAU